GACGAACGCUGGCGGCGUGCUUAACACAUGCAAGUCGAACGGAAAGGCCCUGCUUUUGUGGGGUGCUCGAGUGGCGAACGGGUGAGUAACACGUGAGUAACCUGCCCUUGACUUUGGGAUAACUUCAGGAAACUGGGGCUAAUACCGGAUAGGAGCUCCUGCUGCAUGGUGGGGGUUGGAAAGUCUCGGCGGUUGGGGAUGGACUCGCGGCUUAUCAGCUUGUUGGUGGGGUAGUGGCUUACCAAGGCUUUGACGGGUAGCCGGCCUGAGAGGGUGACCGGCCACAUUGGGACUGAGAUACGGCCCAGACUCCUACGGGAGGCAGCAGUGGGGAAUAUUACACAAUGGGCGGAAGCCUGAUGCAGCAACGCCGCGUGCGGGAUGACGGCCUUCGGGUUGUAAACCGCUUUCGCCUGUGACGAAGCGUGAGUGACGGUAAUGGGUAAAGAAGCACCGGCUAACUACGUG
rnacentral:rRNA from 1 species